rnacentral:snoRNA from 1 species
GUCUGUUGUAAAUAGCCUGUGGAUUUGGCUGUUACUGUGGGUGAAAUUCUGUGUCCAGACCCACCAGAGGAUUUAGCUCACCACUCAUUGCCUUAGUGUUGGGGAAGGAAAUCUAAGCUCUGACAGAU